ACCGCUGACCUGCCCCUUCUAGAAUGGUGCCCAGAAGUCCUGGGACUUCAUGAAGACGCAUGACAGCCUGGUGUUGGUGAAGCAGUUCCGGCCAGCUGUGUAUGCGGGUGAGGUGGAGCGCCGCUUCCCAGGGUCCCUAGCAGCUGUAGACCAGGACGGGCCUCGGGAGCUACAGCCAGCCCUGCCCGGCUCAGCGGGGGUGACAGUUGAGCUGUGUGCCGGCCUCGUGGACCAGCCUGGGCUCUCGCUGGAGGAAGUGGCUUGCAAGGAGGCUUGGGAGGAGUGUGGCUACCACUUGGCCCCCUCUGAUCUGCGCCGGGUUGCCACAUACUGGGAUGCUACGAUGGGCUCCUGACCCCAGCUGAGGUCUUGGGGAAGGAGGAGGGUAUCACAGAGACCCCCACCCCCACCAGCUGAGCACCAGCCUCUGCAGCCUCCUCCAGAGGCCAGGGCCUGCU
rnacentral:sRNA from 1 species